UAGCCGCCCUCACGUUCCUGAAGUGUGUUUACUACCCCGAGAGGAGGGGAAAGGGGGAGCGCGGGCCGAGGGGCUCGAUGACGGAACCGACAGGAACUGUCGAGCUAAAGGCAAACAAUCGAUCCCGUUCCUGUGAACAAAUCCACCCGUCUGCCAGCUCGAUUCCGUACAUUUUGUCCACAUCUUUCUUGAAGUGUCUCACCAAAACUGGACACAGUACUCCAGCUGAGGCCUCAUCAGUGAGUCGUAGAAUUGAACAAUUAGCUCCCAUGUCUUUCAUAUGAUGCUCCUGUUAAUGCAUCCCAGAAACUAGAAGAUGGCAAAUUGAAAACUGAUAAAAGGAAGUAUUUUCAUACAAUGCAGUUUUGCCUUAAAGGAUGAACAACAACAGGAAGUGUGUGCUGAUUACAAAUAAAAAUAAUUACGCAAGAGUAUCCUGCCUCCAUUUACCUGUUUCUCUCCCAAUAAGGAAUGAACCCAGACCAGAAGCAGAACACUAUUUAAAAAAAAACUAAUUAUUUGUUCUCUACUGAAGUAGAUUUUUGUAAAUAGAGUAAUAGUGUACUGUAGAAAGGUGGACUCACCACUGGCAUGCCCCUUUACAGCUGGAUGUGGCAUAGCAGCUAUCCUUUCUAGCAGCCUCUGUCUACAGUCACUUCAGUGGUCUCUUCUCAUGACAUAGCCCUCCUGUCAGGUCACCUCACAUUUAAGUCCAUCCUUUCCAGAGUAACAGAAAGUCCAACAAACAGAGGUUGGAAUACAUAAUCUCAAGACCUUGUCUCUCCAGCCCUCUAACUUGGGGCCCACUGGUCAUCGCACUCUUCUCUCCUUUCUAGUGGGGAACCCAUGCCCACCAUCUACAUUGUUUUCCAAUCCAGAUACCCUAUGUCUGCUGUCAGACACUUCAUCACUGCCUCCCUGGACUCUUUCCUAUCAUUAGCCUUUCUUCAGGCAUUUUCCCCAGCCCCUUCCUGGGGUCUUUGUAACAAGCAGCAUCUCCCAGGGCUUAUCCCCAAAGGUCCAGUUCUUAGCCUUAUGUCAGGGUCAGCCACAGGAGUUUACUCCAGGUCUGUGGAUACCAGCUAUCAUCCCUCUCUGGACUUCCUCCUUACUCUCCAGACCUUCCUGUUCCCCACAGGUCUUUCCACUCUCUACUUCCCUACUCCCCAGAAGGAGACCAUUUUUCUCUCUCCCCAUGCAGCCCUUCAAACGUCAGACUCAAACACAUUUUAAGAUUUGCCAUCACAGCCUCUUGGGAUUUACUGCCUCAAGUUUACUUUUAGCUCAGGAGGUCCUGCCUCUGGCCCUAGACUUCACUAGCUCUGGCUGAGGACCUUCUGAUUCUAGAACAAGCAUCUCACAGCCUUUAACCCAAAAGAGGAAACUACCUUUCUCCUAGUUUUCUUCCCUGGCCUUCCAUUAGCCUGUGAUCCUUCCUUUAUGAAAACCAAGUGGCAUUGGAACCACGGUCAUAGCACCACUCAGAUUUGGCCCAUCUGUGGAGGGGUGGAGAGGCCAAAUGUAAAGGGAGCUGUGUCCAGCUUUACCCACUUGAAAUGUUGGGAGGUAUGGGCUCCUAUUAACCGUUUCAUUGCCUGUUUG